AAUAUUGGUCAAUGGAUGCAAGUCUGAACCAGCCAUGCCGCGUGCAGGAAGAAGGCCUUCUGGGUUGUAAACUGCUUUUGCCGGGGGAUAAAAAGCCCAUGCGUGGGACAUUGAAGGUACCCGGUGAAUAAGCUACGGCUAACUACGUGCCAGCAGCCGCGGUAAUACGUAGGUGGCAAGCGUUGUCCGGAUUUAUUGGGUUUAAAGGGUGCGUAGGCGGCCCUGUAAGUCAGUUCUGAAAUAUCCCGGCUUAACCGGGAGGGUGGGAUUGAUACUGCGGGGCUUGAGUGAACUCGAGGUAGGCGGAAUUGACGGUGUAGCGGUGAAAUGCUUAGAUAUCGUCAAGAACACCGAUAGUGUAGACAGCUUACUAGAUUUUAACUGACGCUGAGGCACGAAAGUGUGGGGAUCAAACAGG
rnacentral:rRNA from 1 species